GAUGAGCCCGCGGCCGAUUAGCUUGUUGGUGGGGUAAUGGCCUACCAAGGCGACGAUCGGUAGCUGGUCUGAGAGGACGAUCANCCACACUGGGACUGAGACACGGCCCAGACUCCUACGGGAGGCAGCAGUGGGGAAUCUUGCGCAAUGGGCGAAAGCCUGACGCAGCGACGCCGUGUGCGGGAAGAAAGCCCUUCGGGUUGUAAACCGCUUUCAGGAGGGACGAAGCCACUCGGGUGAAUAGCCUAGAGGGUGACGGUACCUCCAGAAGAAGCCCCGGCUAACUACGUGCCAGCAGCCGCGGUAAUACGUAGGGGGCUAGCGUUGUCCGGAUUUAUUGGGCGUAAAGAGCGUGUAGGCGGCCGAGUAAGUCCGGUGUGAAAACUCGAGGCUUAACCUCGAGAUGUCAUCGGAAACUAUUCGGCUAGAGUCCGGAAGAGGAGAGUGGAAUUCCUGGUGUAGCGGUGAAAUGCGCAGAUAUCAGGAAGAACACCUAUGGCGAAAGCAGCUCUCUGGGACGGUACUGACGCUGAGACGCGAAAGCGUGGGGAGCGAACAGGAUUAGAUACCCUGGUAGUCCACGCCGUAAACGAUGGACACUAGGUGU
rnacentral:rRNA from 1 species